GACGAACCGUGCGAACGUUGUUCGGAAUCACUGGGCUUAAAGGGCGCGUAGGCGGGCUGACAAGUCUGGGGUGAAAUGCCGCGGCUCAACCGUGGAACUGCCUCAGAUACUGUCGGCCUCGAGGAAGGUAGGGGCAUGCGGAACUGUAGGUGGAGCGGUGAAAUGCGUUGAUAUCUACAGGAACUCCGGUGGCGAAAGCGGCGUGCUGGACCUUUUCUGACGCUGAGGCGCGAAAGCUAGGGGAGCAAACGGGG
rnacentral:rRNA from 1 species